CCCAGCCUUGACGUUCUCAGCACAAUUAAUCAUAAUUGAAUCAUUAUUGUUGGUUUCUUCAAUUGAAUAAACAACCAGAUUGGUGAGUUUCGUUAAAGUUUAGCUAAUUUGUUAAUGUUUGUUUUGACACUGGUACAUUAAACAAUGAGCUUUCUUUUUCGGGGGUCGUAUUUUUCAUUUUUCAGAUAGAAUGUCAUGAUCAAUUAUUUAUUGCAUAUCUUAUUCACUAAACUUCUGUUUAGGGGAGUUUUUGAAUUCCAGAACAUUCUGUUUUGAAAGAGGAACAGCCACAUAAUCCAGCAGCCUGCUUACUAGAUUUUAAAACCAGACUUCUGAUUUAGAUUCAUGGAUUUUCUGAAUAUUUCGAGAGAGUCCUACAUGAAUAGUGCUUGGUAAAUGAUGAAAUAUUUUGAGAAACUGUUACGGAGAAGUGUACAUGGACCAGAUGUAACAGAACAAAAGAAAACAAAAGAAUAAUCUUUUUUUUUUUUUUUUUUAAACUUGCUAAAAUGCUAAAAUGUUACCCGUUUGGCUAAAUCACACCAGGAGUGUCCAAAAAACCCAAAGAUGAGUUUUACACCAUUCUCAGGUCUAACAAAAAACUUCCAUCUAUGGAAUCAUGAAAUCCAUCUAGGAUUUUCAAAACAACAAUAAUACAAUAAAAAAGAACAAUAAUUAAGUGUCGUUCCAAACCCAUAAGACUUCCGUUCAUCUUCGGAACACAAAUGAAGAUAUUUUAAUGUACCCUGGGAGAUUUCUGUCCCUCCAUUUACAGUUCAGUGAACUAAACUUUCAAGCUCUCACGUCAACACAGCACGCAUGCGUCGCGGUUCUCUCGUGAACGUGCGUCGGAGAUCUACAUAGAAGUGAAGAUAUUUUGUGAAUAAAGAAUCAAUUUUACGUUUUUUUGCGCACACAAAGCAUUCGUAUCGCAGCAAAAAAUUGGGAUUAAACCACUGGAUUACUUUUACGAUGACUUCAUGAACUUUUUGGCACUUGAACGUUUUGGUUACUUGGAACCACUGUAAAUGGAGGGACAAAAAUCUCCCAGGUUUCAUUAAAAUGUCUUCAUUUGUGACGAAAGUCUUAUGGGUUUAGGAUGGCAUGAAGAGGAGUAAUUGAUGACAGAAUUAAAAUUUUGGGUGAACUAUCCCUUUAAACUACAUUAAAUCGCAUGACCCCUGCUUUAUGAUUCUUACACGCUUGUAUGCGUGUAGUUUUAGCUCCGUAUACAAAAGAGCAAACACGUCUCCAAGGCCAGUAAUAAUGUUUCUGAGUAGGAGGCCACAAAGCUGGCUAAGAUUAACGACCCUCUUGUCGCCACAAGUCCUCUCCUGUGUUGGUGUUAAUUAAAACGCGGAGGCGGGUGUUCAGUAAUCAAAGCCCCCUGGUGCCUUUUGUUCAUAAUCAGAAGUGGAGAUGUGGUGAUGCUCUAACAGACAAACAAUCACAAUCUAGCUCAAGGAAACCACUUUGAUUAUUAGCCUUCGUCACUAUGUGGAAUUAAUCAGGUCGGAUAUAGAAACAUUGUUUCUGAUGGAUGCUUUGUAGAUGUGGACCAGAAUGUCCUAAAUACAAUCCUGCUAAAAUAAAAUAAAUAAAUAAAUAAAUACAUUUUAAAAAUCAGAAACCUCCACAGAAAUUCUAAUGGUUUCCACUACAAAUAACAUUACAUUCUAUCUAACUAACUAUCAUUGGCCUUAAAUCUAAAUCCACUAAACAUAACAUGCCACCAAUUAGUAACAAGUCCUAAUCCAAUACCUGAUAUUUUUAGCAAUAAGAGUUAUACUACAUGUAUAUACGUGCGCAAUUACAAUAAUCAAAACCCUUCAGCUAGCAGAGAAACAAAUCAAAUUUAGCCACAGUACACAAGCUAGCCAGCUCCCUAAACACAGCACUGCACUAGCAGUUAGCUUAACAACGAGCGAUUAGCUUAGCAACUUCAUCACAAUCUAUUUCACUUUAGUUUGCUAACAACCUAGCUAGUGUUAGUCUAAGAACAUUAGGCUAUGUAUGAUAUUGUGUAAACCAGUAGCAGGCUUGCUAACUAGCAAACAUAAGACUAAGCAUUAUAUUGUGUAAACAGUAGCAAGGUCACUAGCUAGCUAACAUUAGACUAAGUAUUUUAUUGUGUAAAUCAGAAGCAAGGUUGCUAGCUAGCUAACAUUAGACUAAGUAUUUUAUUGUGUAAAUCAGAAGCAAGGUUGCUAGCUAGCUAACAUUAGACUAAGUAUUAUAUUGUGUAAAUCAGAAGCAAGGUCACUAGCUAGCUAACAUUACACUAAGUAUUAUAUUGUGUAAAUCAGAAGCAAGGUUGCUAGCUAGCUAACAUUAGGCUAAGUAUUAUAUUGUGUAAAUCAGAAGCAAGGUUGCUAGCUAGCUAACAUUAGGCUAAGUAUUAUAUUGUGUAAAUCAGAAGCAAGGUUGCUAGCUAGCUAACAUUAGGCUAUUUUAUUGUGUAAACUAGUAGCAAGGUCACUGGCUAGCUAUCUGACAUUAGGUUAAGUAUGAUAUUGUGCAAAUCGGUAGCAAGGUUGCUAGCUAUCUAACAUUAGUUCAACUAUUAUUCUGUGUAAACUAGCUUCCUUUCUCUGUUCCUGGCUUUUCCUUAACCAACAUGACAAUUAGCUUUUUCUCAGCACCCUUGUUUCCUGAAGUAAAUUUCCAUAGAGUUUAAAACCAAACCGUCAAAACAAAAGCAUCUACAUGAUGAUUUGUGCCUUAAUGCUUAAUGACAGUUAUUUCAAAGUAAUAAAUAAAAUAAAUUUAAAAAAAAAAAAAAAAAGGGUAAACAGGCCAACGUACAAGACAUUUUCUGAGGGAAAGAACUAUUGAUCCCAUAAUGCAUUGCAGAUUAUGUCACUGGAUCACUCUCCCUCGACUUUUAGCCUGUUACUACUAACACUGUUGUUGUGUGUUCAUUUUCACCAGAAUGUUAUUAGCAUCUACUACCUAAUAUACUCUAGUAUCUAAUAUUUAAAUAUUAUCUCUCUCCACAUGUUCAUAAAACAACGCUUUCAACAAAACGGUGGACCGUGACACUGAUACACAUGUCACAUCCUUCCAUGUUUCCAGUGACGUCUCUAAUCAGUGGUUUUCGCUUUGGGAUUCUUGCUAAUGUAGCGUACUGAAAUGAGAUGUUAGUUUUCAAAAACAAAGUUGAAAUCACGCUGACGUCAUGGUUUCUAGGGAAGCGUAACACCUUCUCUAAUUUGGUCAGUAAAGAAACCUAAUUAAUUAAGGAAACACAACUUGCGCUCUUCAUUAAAAUAUGACUCAUUGUUCAGCAUUAUUAGCCUUUGACAAAGCUUUGUAUUCUUUAUUAUAUGUACAUCCUGUUAUCACCUACUGUUGUGAUGGGGGAAAGGAAAAAAAAGAAAAAAAAAAGCACAACACAUCAUCUGCUGUAUUCAGGCUGCUGUUGCGUGUGGAAAAAUCUAAAGCAGCUGAAUAGCAGCAGGUUAUAUAUACCGUACCCUCCACUAAUAUUGGCACCCUUGGUAAAUAUGAGCAAAGGCAGCUGUGAAAAAAUGUCUUUAUUGUUUAACCUUUUAAUCUUUUGUUUAAAAAAAAAAAAAAUCACAAAAAUACUCUGCUCUCAUGGAUAUCAAACAAUUGCAAAUACAACACAGGUUUAUCCAAAAAAAUAUUUUUGUUAAAUAUAUAUGUGUGCCAUAAGUAUGUAUUGGCACCCCUAUAAUGAGUGAAUUCAUAUGCGAGAAAUAUAUUUGGAGUAUAUUCGAAGUUGAUAUUUACCUUUUUUUAAAUUAUUUAUUUAUUUGUACUAGGAACAGGACAUUGUUCAAAUAUGACUUCCUGUUUCACAGCCGUGGUUGGAUCUUCCAGCAGGACAAUGAUAGAAAACAUACAACAAAAUCAACACAAAAGGGUUUACUGACCACAAAAUCAAGGUCCUGCCAUGGCCAUCCCAGUCCCCUGACUUGAACUCCAUAGAAAACCUGUGGGGUGAACUGAAGAGGAGACUCCACCAGUGUGGACCUCGAAACGUGAAGGAUCUGGAGAGUUUCUGUAUGGAGGAACGGUCUCAGAUCUCUCACCAUGUAUUCUCCAACCUCAACAGGUAUUAUAGGAGAAGACUCAGAGCUGUUAUCUUAGCAAACGGAGGUAGCACGAAGUAUCGAAUAAAAGGGUGCCAAUAAUUGUUGCACAUGUAUAUUUAACAAAGGAUAAACCUGUGUUGUGUUUGCAAUUGUUUGAUAGCCAUGAGAGCAGAGUAUUUUUGCGAUUUUUUUAAACAAAACAUCAAAAGGUUAAACAAUAAAGACCAUUUUUCACAGCCUUCUUUGCUCAUAUUUACCAAGGGUGCCAAUAUUAGUGGAGGGCAUUGUAAAAGUCUCAGCAUGUCUGAAUCACGCUUGAGCAGCUGCCUUUGACUACCAUGCCAUCCAUCCAACAUCUCAAUACUGAACCUGGUGUGUCUUGUAGCCUUUGAUAAGCCGAUACAUCAUCUGCUCUGCUUGCUGUAUCACACUGUGAGUGUAGACAAGUGACUGAGAGCUGGGAGAAAAUAAGCAAAAUCAAUCACUCUCCAUGUGCCAGAAGUUUCGUUUGUUCUCAGUUUUUCUUCCUUACAACAAUUAUUCAGCACUGACUCAUUCUUAUUUACAAUCUUUUCCAUCUUCCAAACACCUAAGAAGACAAAUAAAAUAAAAUACGCUGAAUACGUGUCUAUAGUUUUCUGAUUAACAACCGUUGCAGGAGACAUUGAGAACUCUCUACUCACAGAGAUGCCUAUCAUACAUUUUAAAAUCCAUCUAAUUAGCACAUGCUGUGUGUAAAUCCUUCCUGUUUAUUCACUCUCUGCAUUUUAAAAAGGCCCCAUAACAAAAAUAAAUCAGGUUAACAGACUAAGCAGGAUGAGACUCAUCCACUACUGAUAUGCCUUUGAAUUCUUAUAACUCUACCAGGGAAUGUUUACUGCAGCUGGAGUCAUGCCUGGAUUUGCUGAAAGCGUGCAAAACGUAGGCAGGUGCUUUUUGAAUUCAGCCAAAUAGUUCAAGUUAAUUUGGCAGGCUGUAUAUAUAUGGAGUGCAUAUUGCAUAACUGUGACCCCUUAGGUGCACUAUCAAUCUUCUCCAACAUAGAUAGCAUUUUUAUUGUGUGUUCCAAGUAGAGCUGGACGAUAUGACAGUACAACAGUAUAUACGCA
ensembl:lncRNA